rnacentral:rRNA from 1 species
UACGUAGGGUGCAAGCGUUAAUCGGAAUUACUGGGCGUAAAGCGUGCGCAGGCGGUUAUGUAAGACAGAUGUGAAAUGCCCGGGCUUAACCUGGGAACUGCAUUUGUGACUGCAUGGCUAGAGUUUGGCAGAGGGGGGUAGAAUUCCACGUGUAGCAGUGAAAUGCGCAGAUAUGUGGAGGAACACCAGUGGCGAAGGCGGCUCACUGGCCCGGUACUGACGCUGAGGUGCGAAAGCGUGGGGAGCAAACAGG